rnacentral:rRNA from 1 species
AUUGAACGCUGGCGGCAGGCUUAACACAUGCAAGUCGAGCGGAGAUGAGGUGCUUGCACCUUAUCUUAGCGGCGGACGGGUGAGUAAUGCUUAGGAAUCUGCCUAUUAGUGGGGGACAACAUUCCGAAAGGAAUGCUAAUACCGCAUACGUCCUACGGGAGAAAGCAGGGGAUCUUCGGACCUUGCGCUAAUAGAUGAGCCUAAGUCGGAUUAGCUAGUUGGUGGGGUAAAGGCCUACCAAGGCGACGAUCUGUAGCGGGUCUGAGAGGAUGAUCCGCCACACUGGGACUGAGACACGGCCCAGACUCCUACGGGAGGCAGCAGUGGGGAAUAUUGGACAAUGGGCGGAUGCCUGAUCCAGCCAUGCCGCGUGUGUGAAGAAGGCCUUUUGGUUGUAAAGCACUUUAAGCGAGGAGGAGGCUACCUAGAUUAAUACUCUGGGAUAGUGGACGUUACUCGCAGAAUAAGCACCGGCUAACUCUGUGCCAGCCGCCGCAGUAAAAC